UUGAAGAAUCAUUUUAGAUAAAAGGAACAUUUAGCUAUUCCAUUAAAAAUGCUCUAAUAGCUGAUACUUCAGGACGUCUUGUGUCUCAUUUUGAAGUUUAGGUGUUAAAAUGCUAAUGUAUGGAUAGUUCGCCGGGGAGGGGGGGUCUUGUGUCUCAUUUUAAAGUUUGAGGGUUAAUAUAUGAAAAGCUUGGAGGGUUAAGUGAAUUUUUUUUAAAAUCCCGCUCACGCUUUAAAAAUCUCCACUCCCACUCCCUCUCGCUCUCUUUCUCUCUCCUUCUCACUUUCACCCUCGUCUUCCACCACUCUUCCCUCGUCGUGAAGACUGUUGUCUAGCGUUUCUCUCGGCGCACUUGUCAGUGUCACCGGCGCCACCUCGCAGGCUCGCAUCCCUCUCUUUUCCUUUAGAUCUGAUAUUCUCGCGGUUCCCUCCGUCAUCCACGUUCGGAUCCUAAGCUAAGACCAUUCCUAGUGAGCUCGGCAAAACCCAUUUUAGCCAAAUUUUUACCGAGUGAGCUCAAAAUGCCGCCUGCAGCAAGGUCAGUAGGGCUACAGUAAAUUUGCCUCUUGUCAGACAAGUCGCCAUUAUUUUUCUUUAAAAUUUUAAUCCCAGGACUGUUUCGCGCUCUCAUUCUGUCCCUCUUCGUGCCAGUUUUGGUUGAUUGGGUGAGAGCUGGUGCUUAUAGAUCUAAGUUUGGUUGACACUGCGUUGCUGCUCUGCACACCAAGCUCCGAGCUACCGGUGGAACAAGACAAAAACACCUGGUUCGGGGGCCCAAUCUGCAAAAUCUAGGGCUUUUCAUCCGAAUCAUUUGAGGCCAUUGAAGUGGCGGGUUUGUAUGAUCAUCAAGGUAAGUGCAACCUCGAUCUGGAAUUUACAAGAUACUCAUGGAGAUUCAAAGUCAAUAGAUUAUUUCAGGGUUUACAAAAGCCCGGCCACGAUCCAACAGAUUCGCCAGCAUUUGAAAGAGGUUCAUGAUUAACGGAGGAAGAGGCAGAAUUUCUACGGCUUGUAUCUUGUGGAUUUCUAUGGCUUGUUCGUGUAUCCUGGAAAGCUGUAUCUUUUAUCAUGAAGGGUGGUUUGCUGAUUCUUGGUCUAUCAAAGCUUAACCUAACAGUACCAUCUAAGUAUUGUUGUAAACAAUGUAGAUCAAAUGUUGUAUUUUUUGUUUUUGUUGGAAUGUUUUCAUUUUCUAAUAACCAUUUUGAUGGAAGUUCUACUUC